AAUUCCGCUUUGGCAUUCCAUACCUCUCUAGCAGGAGCUUAUUCUGUCAGAACUGAGGAUCCCGCAAAGAUAACCUCAUCACAGCCUAGCGCCUUCAGCUAAAUUGAUGUCAAAGAUGAAGGGCUUUCUGUGUUUGCUUGCUCUCUUCAGUCUGGGAUGUGUUGUGUUCACCGAGGCCCAAAACAGGGAAGAAAAAGACUCACUGAGCUUGAGGAAAUUGCUGUCUGUAAUUCAGGACGACCUAAAAAGGGAGGAAUUCGGUGCCCACGGUUUGCAAGAUGAUUUGGUCGGCAGGGAUCUGUUCCAAUGCUGUCCAGCCAUAUUUUGCACUUCUGUUUGUGGUGGCCAAAAUUGCUGUGAAAAGUAGCCCCACUCCGAGUACACCAUGUCACGGUACCAGCUGAGUGGACGAAUCUGCCUCGAUAUACCUGAACAACAAUGCUAUCCUAUCUAAUGACAGUUGACGCCAUAGCUUAAACAAGGGCCAAAAGUAAUUUUGGCAUAUAUUAGUUUUAACACUUUAAAUGACAAGGUUGGAUUCGGUAGCCUACACUAUAGGUAUAAGGGUUCUGUCAAAAAUGCACAUUUUCUUUCAGUUAUUAUCGUGUCUUAAAACUCCAUACGAUUAUGUGUUUUAUGACAAUUUCAUCAAAAAUAGUACUUUUCAGGUUCCAAUUCAAAACCACUGAUAAUGUGAAUGGUUAUAAAAACAAUAUCUGUCCAUAAUUUCCCAAAGCUCUCACGGUAAUUUUAUUUACUUUCACAUCCGAUUGGUUGAGACAUAAUUUGGAAUAAAAACAGUCAAAAACGUUAAUCUCUCUGAAAAGAGACACGUGAGGGCUGGUACGCAACGUGAAACAAUAAGAUAAUCAUUAUAGUGCGUAACUCAAAGCAGCACUACAUUAGACAAUGAUAAUGUGUGAUAUCCGCCUACCUCUGUAAACUGACGUUUACAUUUUAUUGAUAUUCGAUAUUUGCAUAGGUUUAUGCAGCGAAUGUGUGGCUCAAUUGGAUAUUUAACGAUAUUGACUGCUGUGAUGUGUAAUAUGGUGUUUUUAACUCCCGAGGGACUCAUGGGACUUUGUUUGAAAAAAAUGAAAGGCAAAUUUUGAGUCUAUUUCUUUGUUCUUUUACAUCAAAAAGCGUGUAAGUCAGAAUAGGUCAGAAAAGGUUACAAAAACUAAACUUCAAUAUUUUUGGCUCCCCAAAACCCGUUUUUCUUGGAACCUGGCUAAACGUUGUCGCCACUUCCUAGUGUGACACACUAAAUGUGCACAACUGAAUUGAAGACAUAAUGUCGAGCAUUAUCUUGUCUAUUCCACCUUGGUCUUUUUUCUUUUACACUUUUUCAUAUUAACACCUGCAUUGUAAAUUAAGCUUACCGUAUUAUAGCCCAAUAUUCAAAUCUGCCUUCAAUUCUCAUAAAGCAUGCGUGAUUCCAUUGCAGCGCCACUAUCAAUGUAUCGCACAUAGGCAAAUUUUUAUGCUAAUUUUUAUGCUUUUAUUUUAGCUAACAAGCUUUCUAUCUUAAUCAAAAUAAUAAUGGCACAGUAUACGUUUUCCCAGAUAAUUUAGCAUUUCUUUCAUUUAAAAUUGCUUUAUAAGUUCGAAAGUUUAAUCUCGUCAAAGAGUGAUCACCCGCCCUAAUGUUGAUACCGAUUUCGAAAUUAACAUCACAAGGUUUCACUUUCAGAGCAUUGUAAAUCACGACAAAAACACACUUGUCUUAUUCGUCCCAUAUUUCGUCCUCUUCGUCUCCCUCCGGGAAUGGCGUUGAAUGGGAAAAGCAAAUUCGUAUUUUGUCAUUUGUAACCUCUUAAGUUACACAACAAAAAAUGCAAAGUGUGUACACCCUGACAAAACACUCCUUGGAAACAGCUGGCCUUGAAGCACAGAAGAAAAGUCUUUUUACUCCUUAAUGGCAGCCCUUGACACAAGUCCAAAGUUGUAAUGACUCGAGUCAAUGACUCGACUCGAGUCCGACUUGAGUCGCAUUUUUGGGUGACUCGACUCGAGUCUCUGCUGUAAAAUGACUCGACUCGAAUCACUAAAAUCAGUGACUCGUUACAACUCUGCACAAGUCCAGAGUCGGCUGUUCGCUGUAAUUAGUUGACAACGAAUACAUGUAACAAUUACAUGUACAUCAACCUUAAUGAGCACCCGUUUAUGAUGUGGUUAAAUAAAGAAACUGAUCAGCUA